CUCCACUAGCCAGCCAACACCCCAAGGUAUGAGACACAAGUGUUUACAGGGAAAAACCCCCAACCUUUUCUUACUUUUCUUCUCAAAAGUACAAAGGACACACCUGCCUCAUGCAAGAGGUCUCUCACCCUCUCACCUUGGUGUACAGAGCACUCAAAACCCUCCCAGGUUACACAGAAUGCUCUCUCACAGCCUAUGGAAACACCCUUCCUUGGCUGAUUUUCCCUCUCUCGGCUGCCUCCCUCAGUCUUUGGCCGAUAGGCCUAUAUAGCAUCUCUGGCCGUGGGCCACUCGCCCACUUUCCUGGCAGCGCGCGCCCACUCCCUGGUAGCGCGCCCAC
rnacentral:lncRNA from 1 species